ACGAACGCUGGCGGCGUGCUUAACACAUGCAAGUGGAGCGACGAACCAGGCUUCGGCCUGGGGCAGAGCCGCGAACGGGUGAGUAACACGUGGGUAACCUGCCCCGAUGACUGGGACAACCCGGGGAAACCCGGGCUAAUACCGGAUGUGCUGCAUUCGCAUCAGCGAGUGUAGGAAAGGAAGCUUCGGCCUCCGCAUCGGGAUGGGCUCGCGGCCCAUUAGCUUGUUGGUGAGGAACGGCUCACCAAGGCUUCGAUGGGUAGCUGGUCUGAGAGGACGAUCAGCCACACUGGGACUGAGACACGGCCCAGACUCCUACGGGAGGCAGCAGUGGGGAAUCUUGCGCAAUGCGCGAAAGCGUGACG
rnacentral:rRNA from 1 species